rnacentral:rRNA from 1 species
GAAGCAAGACCGUGAGGUGGAGCAAAACUCAAAAACUUGUCUCAGUUCGGAUUGUAGGCUGAAACUCGCCUACACGAAGCUGGAGUUGCUAGUAAUCGCGAAUCAGCAUGUCGCGGUGAAUACGUUCCCGGGCCUUGUACACACCGCCCGUCACACCAUGAGAGUUGGCAAUACCCAACGUACGUGAUCUAACCCGCAAGGGAGGAAGCGUCCUAAGGUAGGGUCAGCGAUUGGGGUGAAGUCGUAACAAGGUAUC